ACUCAAAGGAAUAGACGGGGGCCCGCACAAGCAGCGGAGCGUGUGGUUUAAUUCGAUGAUACGCGAAGAACCUCACCCAGGUUUGACAUGCACGUGGUACGGAUCCGAAAGGUGAAGGACCCUUCGGGGAGCGUGCACAGGUGUUGCAUGGCCGUCGUCAGCUCGUGCCGUGAGGUGUUGGGUUAAGUCCCGCAACGAGCGCAACCCCUGUCGCCAGUUGUAUUUUUCUGGCGAGACUGCCGAGAAAACCUCGGAGGAAGGAGGGGACGAUGUCAGGUCAGCAUGGCCCUUAUGCCUGGGGCUACACACACGCUACAAUGGGUGGUACAACGGGUUGCCAAGCCGCGAGGUGGAGCUAAUCCCAUCAAAGCCAUCCUCAGUUCGGAUUGCAGGCUGAAACUCGCCUGCAUGAAGCCGGAGUUGCUAGUAACCGUAGGUCAGCACUACUGCGGUGAAUACGUUCCCGGGCCUUGCACACACCGCCCGU
rnacentral:rRNA from 1 species